rnacentral:rRNA from 1 species
UACGGAGGGUGCAAGCGUUAUCCGGAUUCACUGGGUUUAAAGGGUGCGUAGGUGGGCAGGUAAGUCAGUGGUGAAAUCUCCGGGCUUAACCCGGAAACUGCCAUUGAUACUAUCUGUCUUGAAUACCGUGGAGGUGAGCGGAAUAUGUCAUGUAGCGGUGAAAUGCUUAGAUAUGACAUAGAACACCAAAUGCGAAGGCAGCUCACUACGCGAAUAUUGACACUGAGGCACGAAAGCGUGGGGAUCAAACAGG